GCCUUGGUAGCAUAGUAGGCACUGCAUCAGUCUAAUAAUCAAGCAUGAAGUUGAAGAAAUCUGAAGGUCAUGAGUUCGAUCCUCAUCUGGGGCA
rnacentral:tRNA from 1 species